rnacentral:rRNA from 1 species
AUUGAACGCUGGCGGCAUGCUUUACACAUGCAAGUCGAACGGUAACAGGCCGCAAGGUGCUGACGAGUGGCGAACGGGUGAGUAAUGCAUCGGAACGUGCCCAGUCGUGGGGGAUAACGCAGCGAAAGCUGUGCUAAUACCGCAUACGAUCUAUGGAUGAAAGCGGGGGACCGUAAGGCCUCGCGCGAUUGGAGCGGCCGAUGUCAGAUUAGGUAGUUGGUGGGGUAAAGGCCCACCAAGCCAACGAUCUGUAGCUGGUCUGAGAGGACGACCAGCAACACUGUGUCUGAGACACGGCCCAGACUCCUACGGGAGGCAGCAGUGGGGAAUUUUGGACAAUGGGCGCAAGCCUGAUCCAGCAAUGCCGCGUGCAGGAAGAAGGCCUUCGGGUUGUAAACUGCUUUUGUACGGAACGAAACGGUCUGGGUUAAUACCUCGGGCUAAUGACGGUACCGUAAGAAUAAGCACCGGCUAACUACGUGCCAGCAGCCGCGGUAAUAC